GAAAAAUAAAAUAAAAAAUGAAACAGUGAAGGACAAGUAAACCAGAACGACCCCGAAAAUGUGAUCAGGUACAGCGUCAAACACCUCUUCUUUCCUCUCCUUGCUUUCUGCUCUAUCUCCCUUUUUCUCUCUCUUUCUC
rnacentral:ribozyme from 14 species